UACGUAGGGUGCGAGCGUUGUCCGGAAUUACUGGGCGUAAAGAGCUCGUAGGUGGUUUGUCGCGUUGUUCGUGAAAACUCACAGCUUAACUAUGGGCGUGCGGGCGAUACGGGCAGACUGGAGUACUGCAGGGGAGACUGGAAUUCCUGGUGUAGCGGUGGAAUGCGCAGAUAUCAGGAGGAACACCGGUGGCGAAGGCGGGUCUCUGGGCAGUAACUGACGCUGAGGAGCGAAAGCGUGGGGAGCGAACAGG
rnacentral:rRNA from 1 species